rnacentral:sRNA from 1 species
AAUGGGUUAAAACGGUUACCACUUACUAUCAAGUAAGACUUUUUCGAAAACCCCCUUACUGCUAUUUAGCGGUUCCUCGGGUUCUUU